rnacentral:rRNA from 1 species
AUUGAACGCUGGCGGCAUGCUUUACACAUGCAAGUCGAACGGUAACAGGCCGCAAGGUGCUGACGAGUGGCGAACGGGUGAGUAAUGCAUCGGAACGUGCCCAGUCGUGGGGGAUAACGCAGCGAAAGCUGCGCUAAUACCGCAUACGAUCUAUGGAUGAAAGCGGGGGACCGUAAGGCCUCGCGCGAUUGGAGCGGCCUAUGUCAGAUUAGGUAGUUGGUGGGGUAAAGGCUCACCAAGCCAACGAUCUGUAGCCGGUCUGAGAGGACGACCAGACACACUGGGACUGAGACACGGCCCAGACUCCUACGGGAGGCAGCAGUGGGGAAUUUUGGACAAUGGGCGCAAGCCUGAUCCAGCAAUGCCGCGUGCAGGAAGAAGGCCUUCGGGUUGUAAAGCUCUUUCAGACGGAAAGAAAUCUCUCGGGUGAAUAUCCCGGGAGGAUGACGGUACCGUAAGAAGAAGCACCGGCUAACUACGUGCCAGCCGCCGCCGUAAUAC